rnacentral:rRNA from 1 species
GGGUUGUGAGGUUAAGCGACUAAGCGUACACGGUGGAUGCCCUGGCAGUCAGAGGCGAUGAAGGACGUGCUAAUCUGCGAUAAGCGUCGGUAAGGUGAUAUGAACCGUUAUAACCGGCGAUUUCCGAAUGGGGAAACCCAGUGUGUUUCGACACACUAUCAUUAACUGAAUCCAUAGGUUAAUGAGGCGAACCGGGGGAACUGAAACAUCUAAGUACCCCGAGGAAAAGAAAUCAACCGAGAUUCCCCCAGUAGCGGCGAGCGAACGGGGAGGAGCCCAGAGUCUGAAUCAGUGUGUGUGUUAGUGGAAGCGUCUGGAAAGGCGCGCGAUACAGGGUGACAGCCCCGUACACAAAAAUGCACAUACUGUGAGCUCGAUGAGUAGGGCGGGACACGUGGUAUCCUGUCUGAAUAUGGGGGGACCAUCCUCCAAGGCUAAAUACUCCUGACUGACCGAUAGUGAACCAGUACCGUGAGGGAAAGGCGAAAAGAACCCCGGCGAGGGGAGUGAAAAAGAACCUGAAACCGUGUACGUACAAGCAGUGGGAGCACGCUUAGGCGUGUGACUGCGUACCUUUUGUAUAAUGGGUCAGCGACUUAUAUUCUGUAGCAAGGUUAACCGAAUAGGGGAGCCGAAGGGAAACCGAGUCUUAACUGGGCGUUAAGUUGCAGGGUAUAGACCCGAAACCCGGUGAUCUAGCCAUGGGCAGGUUGAAGGUUGGGUAACACUAACUGGAGGACCGAACCGACUAAUGUUGAAAAAUUAGCGGAUGACUUGUGGCUGGGGGUGAAAGGCCAAUCAAACCGGGAGAUAGCUGGUUCUCCCCGAAAGCUAUUUAGGUAGCGCCUCGUGAAUUCAUCUCCGGGGGUAGAGCACUGUUUCGGCAAGGGGGUCAUCCCGACUUACCAACCCGAUGCAAACUGCGAAUACCGGAGAAUGUUAUCACGGGAGACACACGGCGGGUGCUAACGUCCGUCGUGAAGAGGGAAACAACCCAGACCGCCAGCUAAGGUCCCAAAGUCAUGGUUAAGUGGGAAACGAUGUGGGAAGGCCCAGACAGCCAGGAUGUUGGCUUAGAAGCAGCCAUCAUUUAAAGAAAGCGUAAUAGCUCACUGGUCGAGUCGGCCUGCGCGGAAGAUGUAACGGGGCUAAACCAUGCACCGAAGCUGCGGCAGCGACGCUUAUGCGUUGUUGGGUAGGGGAGCGUUCUGUAAGCCUGUGAAGGUGUGCUGUGAGGCAUGCUGGAGGUAUCAGAAGUGCGAAUGCUGACAUAAGUAACGAUAAAGCGGGUGAAAAGCCCGCUCGCCGGAAGACCAAGGGUUCCUGUCCAACGUUAAUCGGGGCAGGGUGAGUCGACCCCUAAGGCGAGGCCGAAAGGCGUAGUCGAUGGGAAACAGGUUAAUAUUCCUGUACUUGGUGUUACUGCGAAGGGGGGACGGAGAAGGCUAUGUUGGCCGGGCGACGGUUGUCCCGGUUUAAGCGUGUAGGCUGGUUUUCCAGGCAAAUCCGGAAAAUCAAGGCUGAGGCGUGAUGACGAGGCACUACGGUGCUGAAGCAACAAAUGCCCUGCUUCCAGGAAAAGCCUCUAAGCAUCAGGUAACAUCAAAUCGUACCCCAAACCGACACAGGUGGUCAGGUAGAGAAUACCAAGGCGCUUGAGAGAACUCGGGUGAAGGAACUAGGCAAAAUGGUGCCGUAACUUCGGGAGAAGGCACGCUGAUAUGUAGGUGAAGUCCCUUGCGGAUGGAGCUGAAAUCAGUCGAAGAUACCAGCUGGCUGCAACUGUUUAUUAAAAACACAGCACUGUGCAAACACGAAAGUGGACGUAUACGGUGUGACGCCUGCCCGGUGCCGGAAGGUUAAUUGAUGGGGUCAGCGCAAGCGAAGCUCUUGAUCGAAGCCCCGGUAAACGGCGGCCGUAACUAUAACGGUCCUAAGGUAGCGAAAUUCCUUGUCGGGUAAGUUCCGACCUGCACGAAUGGCGUAAUGAUGGCCAGGCUGUCUCCACCCGAGACUCAGUGAAAUUGAACUCGCUGUGAAGAUGCAGUGUACCCGCGGCAAGACGGAAAGACCCCGUGAACCUUUACUAUAGCUUGACACUGAACAUUGAGCCUUGAUGUGUAGGAUAGGUGGGAGGCUUUGAAGUGUGGACGCCAGUCUGCAUGGAGCCGACCUUGAAAUACCACCCUUUAAUGUUUGAUGUUCUAACGUGGACCCGUGAUCCGGGUUGCGGACAGUGUCUGGUGGGUAGUUUGACUGGGGCGGUCUCCUCCUAAAGAGUAACGGAGGAGCACGAAGGUUGGCUAAUCCUGGUCGGACAUCAGGAGGUUAGUGCAAUGGCAUAAGCCAGCUUGACUGCGAGCGUGACGGCGCGAGCAGGUGCGAAAGCAGGUCAUAGUGAUCCGGUGGUUCUGAAUGGAAGGGCCAUCGCUCAACGGAUAAAAGGUACUCCGGGGAUAACAGGCUGAUACCGCCCAAGAGUUCAUAUCGACGGCGGUGUUUGGCACCUCGAUGUCGGCUCAUCACAUCCUGGGGCUGAAGUAGGUCCCAAGGGUAUGGCUGUUCGCCAUUUAAAGUGGUACGCGAGCUGGGUUUAGAACGUCGUGAGACAGUUCGGUCCCUAUCUGCCGUGGGCGCUGGAGAACUGAGGGGGGCUGCUCCUAGUACGAGAGGACCGGAGUGGACGCAUCACUGGUGUUCGGGUUGUCAUGCCAAUGGCACUGCCCGGUAGCUAAAUGCGGAAGAGAUAAGUGCUGAAAGCAUCUAAGCACGAAACUUGCCCCGAGAUGAGUUCUCCCUGACCCUUUAAGGGUCCUGAAGGAACGUUGAAGACGACGACGUUGAUAGGCCGGGUGUGUAAGCGCAGCGAUGCGUUGAGCUAACCGGUACUAAUGAACCGUGAGGCUUAACCUUACAACGCCGAAG